AACGGUGCUCGGAUGCUUUAUGAUAAGUUGAUCAUGCUCAACUGGGCGGUUAUCGUGUACAGCCUAACACAUGCAAGUCGAACGGCAGCACAGGAGAGCUUGCUCUCUGGGUGGCGAGUGGCGGACGGGUGAGUGAAUACAUCGGAAUCUACUCUGUCGUGGGUGGAUAACGUAUGGAAACUUACGCUAAUACCCGCAUACGACCUACGGGUGAAAGCAGGUGAUCUUCGGACCUUGCGCGAUUGAAUGAGCCGAUGUCGGAUUAGCUAGUUGGCGGGGUAAAGGCCCACCAAGGCGACGAUACCGUAGCUGGUCUGAGAGGAUGAUCAGCCACACUGGAACUGAGACACGGUCCAGACUCCUACGUGGAGGCAGCAGUGGGGAAUAUUGGACAAUGGGCGCAAGCCUGAUCCAGCCAUACCGCGUGGGUGAAGAAGGCCUUACGGGUUNGUAAAGCCCUUUUGUUGGGAAAGAAAUCCAGCCGGCUAAUACCUGGUUUGGGAUGACGG
rnacentral:rRNA from 1 species